UAGGGCGCCUGGGUAGGCCACUUGGUUAAGCAUCCAGCUCUUGAUUUUGGCUCAGGUCAUGGUGUCAAGGUUGUGAGAUAAAGCACC